GUUCAGUAAGACUUACAUGUUGCCCUGAUGUCCUUGGCUUUGUCUGAUAAGAGUUUUUCAACUUCACUCUUCUCUCCAUGCAUGAAGACAAAUUCAAUACCAUGUGUAGUCCUAGUACUGUGGUACUUGUUUUAUCUUCAAUUUUCAGAUAAAAUAGUGCAGCAGUAUUGAGAAAAAUUUUUAUAUUUGAAUUUGCAAACAUAAUGAACAAUGUGUGACUGACAUCCCAGUUUUCUGGUGCUCCAAUGAUUGGUAAACAACGUUUGUUCUACUAAAACAAGAAUCAGCUAAUAUCCCUGUUGUGCUCCUCUUGUUGGCCUUAUCAGAUAUAAAAGCUCUACCGAGCUCCAGAGCUUAGAUCUGCAGCAGUUCAGCUCAUGCAGUGUGUUUGCUGCCCUGUGCUUAAACACUGCUGGUUACGCAGGGGAUGCAGAGUUGGGCAUGGCAGCCCUUAGAGGAGCUUCGCCUAUUGGCACCAGGGUCACUAAGGACUGUCAGUACUGUCAGUGACAGCAUCUCUCCUGGACAGACCUGAGCCCACCCUGGAGAAAGGGAAGAGGACAGGGAGGGGGCAUAGCCCUGGGCUCUCUGCCUCCUGAAGAUUUAGGAUGAAAGGACCCUGGGGAAUCUCUCCAGUGAGUGUCUUACAGGUGAGGGUUCACACACACUUCGCAUGGCUCCCAUCCCUGGUUUCCUUUCACAGAUGAUGGUUAGAUUUAGCAACAUCAGGAGAAGCCACUGAGACAUGGACUGCAGAGCCUCAGUUCAAGAUCCUGCUGAGAAAGUGAAGCAGGCAGGGUCCUUGGAUGUACAUCUACUGCUACCGAGGUCACCAUGGCAGUACCACUCAGCCCCAGUCCAGGGGCUGAAGUGAAUGUUGUGGAGUUCAAGGAGUAUAAGUGCUCUUGGGUGGGAGAGAAUAAACUGCAAUUUGAAGACUGCAGAUCAAGUUCUGUUAGACCUGAAGCAGCUCUCGGCUCUCUGGACACCAAAGUGCAGAAACGUGGUGAGUUGUGUAGGUUCACAGUGAGCAGGAUGAUAAAUGGUUCUGUUUUCUCUCCAUAAGUGAAAAAUGGUCUCCAAAAGUGAUUCUUUUCUUCACUUUAUCGAAAUUAAUUUACCUUCCCAUAUUUGUAGAAAGGUAGAAGUUGGUAUCUUGCCCGCCCUCUGGAUGGAAAACUGGGGCUCAAAGCAUUUACCAGUGUUUCCCAGUUCAGAGUGAGGAGUGGGGUGGGACCCAGGUAAAAAUCCCAGUUACCGAUUGCUGUUGAAGGCAGGGAAUGGUGUGCUUUUCUCAAGAAUGGGUCAGGCCAUUUCGGUGAGGACCCUCUGUGUCCCCUCUCAGAUCCUCCAGAUGUGUAGCAUUACUCUUGGCCUACUGUUCUGGGACCAGGGGCCUCGCCUUGCCCUAUGGAGCUUCUAUGGAGUCCGAGUGGGCACGGCACCUGCUGGUUAUGUUGGGGAAAGCUGGGGGCGACAGGUUUCAGAGGAGCUUGGGGGGGAUUCUGCUCCUUUAUGGCAGCCACCAUUGUUGCCAUGGA
rnacentral:lncRNA from 1 species